GGGCCCGCACAAGCGGUGGAGCAUGUGGUUUAAUUCGAUGAUACGCGAGGAACCUUACCAGGGCUUAAAUGUAGUCUGACAGGCGUGGAAACAUGCUUUUCUUCGGACACUUAACAAGGUGCUGCAUGGUUGUCGUCAGCUCGUGCCGUGAGGUGUCAGGUUAAGUCCUAUAACGAGCGCAACCCCUGUUGUUAGUUGCCAGCGAGUAAUGUCGGGAACUCUAGCAAGACUGCCAGUGCAAACUGUGAGGAAGGUGGGGAUGACGUCAAGUCCUCAUGGCCCUUACGGGUUGGGCUACACACGUGCUACAAUGGUAGUGACAAUGGGUUAAUCCCAAAAAGCUAUCUCAGUUCGGAUUGUCGUCUGCAACUCGACGGCAUG
rnacentral:rRNA from 1 species